GACGAACGCUGGCGGCGUGCUUAACACAUGCAAGUCGAACGGUAAGGCCCUUCGGGGUACACGAGUGGCGCACGGGUGAGUAACACGUGGGUGAUCUGCCCUGCACUUCGGGAUAAGCCUGGGAAACUGGGUCUAAUACCGGAUAGGACCACUGUCUGCAUGGGCGGUGGUGGAAAGGUUUUGCGGUGUGGGAUGGGCCCGCGGCCUAUCAGCUUGUGGGUGGGGUGAUGGCCUACAAAGGGGACGACGGGUAGCCGGCCUGAGAGGGUGACCGGCCACACUGGGACUGAGAUACGGCCCAGACUCCUACGGGAGGCAGCAGUGGGGAAUAUUGCACAAUGGGCGCAAGCCUGAUGCAGCGACGCCGCGUGAGGGAUGACGGCCUUCGGGUUGUAAACCUCUUUCAGCACCGACGAAGCGCAAGUGACGGUAGGUGCAGAAGAAGGACCGGCCAACUACGUGCCAGCAGCCGCGGUAA
rnacentral:rRNA from 1 species